rnacentral:rRNA from 1 species
GAUGAACGCUGGCGGCGUGCCUAAUACAUGCAAGUCGAGCGAACAGACGAGGAGCUUGCUCCUCUGACGUUAGCGGCGGACGGGUGAGUAACACGUGGAUAACCUACCUAUAAGACUGGGAUAACUUCGGGAAACCGGAGCUAAUACCGGAUAAUAUAUUGAACCGCAUGGUUCAAUAGUGAAAGACGGUUUUGCUGUCACUUAUAGAUGGAUCCGCGCCGCAUUAGCUAGUUGGUAAGGUAACGGCUUACCAAGGCAACGAUGCGUAGCCGACCUGAGAGGGUGAUCGGCCACAACGGAACCGAGAAACGGUCCAGACUCCUAAGGGAGGCAGGAGUAGGGAAUCUUCCGCAAUGGGCGAAAGCCUGACGGAGCAACGCCGCGUGAGUGAUGAAGGUCUUCGGAUCGUAAAACUCUGUUAUUAGGGAAGAACAAAUGUGUAAGUAACUAUGCACGUCUUGACGGUACCUAAUCAGAAAGCCACGGCUAACUACGUG